AAGUCGUAACAAGGUUUCCGUAGGUGAACCUGCGGAAGGAUCAUUAACACUUCUAUUAUUAUAACUUAAUACUUAUAAAUAAAUAAACCCCAAAUCACUUCUGUUUUAUUUACAGUAUAAUCUUCUAAAUCUUACAUAAUUUAACCCCAUUAACACCUAACAACAUAACUAAUUGACUAAAUUGAUUUAAGAUUUUAUCUUUUCUUAAGCAAAUAUGUAUUCUCCUUUAUUUUAUUUCUUAGCAAUAGGAAAUAAGUUUUUGGAUCUGAUAUAAUAAUAUAUAGCAAUAUAUAUUAAUAUUUCUUUGAGUCGUUUGUGACGAGUUGAGUCUAAUCUACCUUUAAAUUCCCAAUUCAUUCAUUUGAAAUUGUUAUAUUUAAAAUUUUUAUUAUUACAACUCUAUACAAUGGAUAUCUUGGUUCUC
rnacentral:misc_RNA from 1 species